rnacentral:rRNA from 1 species
CCUACGGGAGGCUGCAGUGGGGAAUAUUGGGCAAUGGGCGCAAGCCUGACCCAGCAACGCCGCGUGAAGGAAGAAGGCCCUCGGGUUGUAAACUUCUUUUGUCAGGGACGAAACAUAUGACGGUACCUGCCGAAUAAGCCACGGCUAACUACGGGCCAGCAGCCGCGGUAAUACGUAGGUGGCAAGCGUUAUCCGGAUUUACUGGGUGUAAAGGGCGUGUAGGCGGGAGAGCAAGUCAGAUGUGAAAUUCCAGGGCUCAACCCUGGAACUGCAUUUGAUACUGUUUUUCUUGAGUGAUGGAGAGGCAGGCGGAAUUCCGGGUGUAGCGGUGAAAUGCGUAGAUAUACGGAGGAACACCAGUGGCGAAGGCGGCCUGCUGGACAUUAACUGACGCUGAGGCGCGAAAGCGUGGGGAGCAAACAGGAUUAGAUACCCUUGUAGUC